UUUUAUUUCUCUAUAUAUUUCUCAUUUCUCUCUAUAUUUCUUUCUGAACGAUUUAUAAAGUAUAUUAUUCUCUCAUCGUUAAUGCCGCUGUAUCAUUUUUAUACAUUUUUUUUUAAUAAGAACCGUUUCCUAUCAACUCCAUCCAAUCGGGCAACGUUCGAUAAUCAAUUUAUCCCUAAAUCACGCUAUAUCACGCUCGCCAAUCAUGCAUGCAAAUCCAUUGACCACUGUGACAAAGGUUGCUAUAAAACCACUGGACCUAUCAUCGAUCAGGGCAGUCGCAUAAACAGCUCGACAGAAACGCAUCAAGUAUGAAGCUUACACUAUUCCUUGCAUUUUUGACAGUACUGGCUACCAUCGCCCAUGCGGCAACGGUAGGGUCAUCAAGGGCUGCAGGAAUUACCGCACCUGUUGGAGGCCUCGAGUAUACAACGGAUGCUGGCCCGCCUGCUGAGAUGUUGCGUCAGAAUCCAAAAUAUUCCACAACGACCAGAAAAGCGGAUGAACCGAGGUACAUGCUUCGGGGAUAAAUCGACCCUCCGAACAGCGCAUUGUCCACCUGUGGAAUCUUGAUAAGAAUCUAUCCCAGCUUUUAGAUUUAACAGUGGGAAAUUUAAGUAUCGUCCGUGCUUGUAAUAUUUUUUAAGCUGAAAAUUGCAAAAUAAACAAAACAAGUAAGCAAAACAAUUAUUACUUUACACUUUUUUUAUUGAAGUCGCUUACUGGCUAUGACAAUGUAAUGCUUGCCACAUCGCCGUAUGUUGCGAUCAUUGUUCUCACCAAUUAUCUAAUGCAUCUUACGUUCUAGAUUGCUAUCUCCCCUGUUUCUCUGUUUCUCCCCUGUCCCCUGUUGUAAGGAUAGCAAAUCGAAUCGAAAAAGGAUCAAAAUAAUGGGAAAGGCCUGUGAUAAAUACUUACAUGCAUUGUAUUUAAACUAACGCUAACCAGUUGGCGUUAACUUAUUGCAUUGAAAGUAUUAAAAAUCUUUCUUACAUUGGGGGCUUUUACGAUAUCAGCCAGCUGUUUUAUAUGGUGUUUGUCACUUACAGGUUUAAAUCAUGUCAACACUCUUUACAAAACCACUUACAUAACCCUUAGCCUUAGAUUUUCAGCCCAGAUUAUUUCAGCCUAAUAAAUAUUGAAACAAACGCCGAUUCGUCUCAGGCACGUUCAGAUUAGUGAAUGAGAGAUUGAAUUUUUUGGAAGAUGCAUAAAUAUUGAGUGAAUAAUAGUUAAACGUUAUUUUAACCAUUUAUUAAAGUUUCACAAAAGUGCUAUAACAUGUUUCAAACAGAAAAAGGAAAAUAAAACAAUUUUAUAAUGCAUCUUAGUUUGUACACAAACGCUUCCAUCCAAUAUGGCGGACCUUAACUGUCACAUGGAUACAACCCAGAUGAAAAAAAUAAAGAAGAGAUCAUUGUUAUAAAAAUGUAAAGUAUUAUUAAACAUUGAAACGAGAUUAACAUAGACACGUUUUGCCCCAAAAAUUCUAUGAAUGAACCAACUCAACCAGUUUUUGACAACUUGGUGCAAUUUGCUAGUACUCACCAAGUUGUACAGCAUAUAUACUUUUUUUGUUAAACCACCAUAGUAAAUCUACCAGAACAUCAACAAAAGCUCUGCUUAUCGAAGUAGCUCUAACACCCAUAACGUAAGCACAGGCAAUCAGUUACAGUAAAGCAUCACGCUUAGUAUUCCCAAUUUCCAUGACCCAUUUGUUGUACACUACUCUUCUUGAAUCACUAUAAAACGUCGCCUCCACCAUAGUCCGCCGGUGAGUCCUAAAGACGCAAUAGAAAUGAAAAUCACCGUAGUACUGCUUUCCUUGAUUGCUAUGGCGUUCGCCGCUUCAAUACCAUGGAGAAGUUAUUAUGUUUACCGCCCAGUUCGUGUAAGUCCUACACGAGACCAAGACGCACUCAACACUCAACAUGUCCUAAAUUAUUUAUUGGGGUUAUAUCAAAUCAAACCCACCCUACGAGAUGUAGACGCUGAACCGCGCAAGCCUCCAAGAUGUAAUCCGUCCGACAGGGACUGUAACGACUAUGACAAUCCAUUUGAAAUCGAAUUGUAAAAUGGGAGCCGUCUACUAUAACACUUGAAUCAUUUUUGUUUCUUUGCAAAGUGGUUCUAAACCAUUUUUUACUGAUUUUUGGCAGAGGUGUACGACUUAAACAAACACAAAAAAAAACAAAACAAAAAAAUAUCUUUACCAAAUAUAAACUAAAGCUUUUAUCUUACUCGAUUAAACCAUACGAUACAACGUCUACAACGGUAUCAGCUUUUGCGGUAUAGCAAUCAGCUUUUGCUUUUCAAAACAUUCCCUUAGAUCAACUUUAAAAGCUACCGAUUUUACAUACAUGGAGUUUAAGUUUAUCGUUUUUAUUGGCGAUUCCGUUUCCAGUACUCCUUUUGCUAUGUUUUAGUUAUUGAAUUACCUCUCAUUUUAAUUUCAAUGUCAAUUUUGUCUUUUUGCCACCUUCCAAAUUAAUCAUAUUGCAUAUUUUCUAUUAACAGUUCAAUGUGAAUCUCUUUCGAUUAUUUAUUGAACCGAUGACAGGCUAGUAAUAGUAUUUUUUGUUGUUUUUGAAUGGAUCAUUUCAUUAUUUAAGCAUCGCUUUAAACAUAAUUGUCAUUAACCGAUCACUGCAUUGUACUUCCUAGUAGGUACUGAUCUUAAACGAUACCGUUUCAACAAUUAUCUAUUUAACUCUAAAAACAUUUGGAUAAUUUGUUGAUUUUGUCGCACAAUGUUAGAAAUCCGAACUUUUUUUUUGUUUAGCUAGCAUUCAGUAUCUCCAGUAUAAAUUACUUUUCUACUACCUUGUGAUGAUAGCUACUCCUAUUCUCGACAAUAUAGUGCCAUAAACAUUGGACUAUUUCGAUCGCAAUUUGGCCAAAGACUACGAUGGAUUAACGAUCAAGUAUCGUUAUGUAAUAUCGUAUUCAUUAUCGGUUAUACCAAUCAGUAUUAAAUAAAAUUAAAUCAUAAUACACAAAACUAAGUAGCGUUAUAACAUUUUCAAAGCUUCUCCAUGGCUAUUCAAGCUGUGCUAAAUUUAUUGUUGCAUUCUUAAUUCCCGUAACUAUCUUGCAUUGAACGAGCACCACUGCUAGCUCAAAUGUAUCCUUCCUGAACCACUAUAAAACGCCAGGCUUGUACCCUCUAUUCUUCACACUGGGUAGUAGUCCCUCAACGAAUACAUCGUUCAGCUCGCAACAUGAAAACUGUCAUAGUACUGUUCGCCCUAGUGGCUGUUGCCACAGCAAUGCAGCCAUUUUAUCACCCACAAGACCAAUUUCCCGUGGUUGACAUUAUACCCAAACUGCCUAUGCGCCGGCAGGUUUCUAAAAUUAUCGAAUCGUUUAAAGGGCUUGUGGACGGAUUUAUUAAUUUUAUAGAAGGAACACGUCGUGGCGACCCUGUUGAUCGUGAGAACAUGCGGCAGCUUUUACAAUUGUUACAGCUUUUACCUCCAUUUGCAAAGACUCUCAAUGAACAAUUUGGUCAAUGAACAUAAUUCGAAAAGGAUUUCCAACCCACAAGUGAGGUAAGAUUUGCAAUGGAAGACUUCACACAAAAGAGAGCUGCGAUGGGAAUGGACGAUCAUAAAUUUCUCUAUCGUCAUAAAUAAAUAUAUAUUCGUACUUGCAAAUUCGGAACAUCAUUUUUGAUUGAUGAAGCGAUUAUGGGAGAAUUCUAUGGACUAAUUAAAUUCAGUCCCUAUUGGUUAAUUGGGCAGUUCAUGUAUAAUGGUCAGGAUUUUUCGUUUACAAAUUGCAGCAUGAAUCGCCCGUGAGUUAUAUCUUAUCCAUGUUAUCCACACAAAUUAUUUCGAAUUUUCCUAGUUUUUGUGCUGCCGUUUCAACAAUUAUACUGUUGAUUGAUUUCAUUAAUUUCAGAGUCAAACGAUCCCUUCAUUCCUGGCAUACAUCUAUCUAAUCCUUUCAAUAACACUUCAUUCUUGUUUACGUUCUACAUUAUUUUAAUUGGCCAUUGAUUUGCAGUACCUUCAACAUUCUAACACAAAACCUUCUACUAUUGCUGAAAGUAUCACAUUCCAAGGAUUAACGUUUCUUGUCGAACGUAUAAGCAGAACAAAUUGGUUGAAGAUACAAAACAUCGUACACUAAUCGCUAUGAAAAUACUAAUAAUUGUUAUCAUUUUUGGAAAAAACCCAACACGAGUAAACAAAAUUAAGCGGCUUCAUAACUUUUUCAUAGUUUUACUAUCUUCUUCCUCUUCUUAUAGGCUCAGCAAUAACCGUUGUCGGUCAACGCCUGCCUGUACCACUUGAGGGCUUGGUUUUCAGUGAUUUUUGGAUUACCUCCCAUAGCAGGAUAGUCAGUCCUACGUAUGGCGGCACGGUCUAUUUGGGGCUUGAACCCAUGACGGGCAUGUUGUUACGUCAUAGGAGUUAACGACUGUACCACGAGACCGGCAUAAAAGCUUCAUCAAUAUCGCAUGAAUGAUUUAAUGUCCUUCAUGCUUUGCAAAUAAGAAAGUUUGAUAACUUUGUUAAAUUGGUUACAGAAGUUAUUGUUUUAUUGCAAGAUAUUUUGUAUGCACUGGCGUUGCGAGACUGUUUAUCAUCAGUGCUUACAGCAGUUUCACUGAAUAAUCAAAUAGCUACCGACUAUCAUAGGGGUAGCAUCAUUACAGUUUUCAAUAAAGAGUUCACACUGUACAUAUAAUUAACCACUGAUGAAAAAACAUUUGUACAAGCAGUCACUAAAGAAAUGAGUGUAAUCAUGAUUAUAAUGAAUGAUGAUGACAUAAACGGUUUGUUAAGAAUGACAUUAAAAGAAUUGUAUUUAUUUAUAUCAGAUUGUCCACACCAUGAACCAAGCUCAAAAUUUCUCAACCAUGCAUGAACAUUAACAUUGUUCUAGAACAUUUCCAACAUUCAAAAACAUAUGAUAUUUAAUUUUCCUGUUCUCUUAUUGUUCUUCUAUUUGCCGUGACGUCGUCCUACGUGGACAUACAGGCCUAUACAGGCUUUCGAGACUUAAUUCAUUACCACGUAGCCGGAUAGUCAAUCCUUGCUACGGGGUGCCGGUCCGGUCCAUUCUGGACUUGAACCCAUUAAGUCGUUCGAGUUGACGACUGUACCACGAAACCAGUCUCUUAUUGUUUGACUUGUAGAACACAUAUAGCAACCACGAUUUAUUAUGGAUGCGAUAAUAUUUACGUUGGUUUGACAAUUUGAACAGCAACCUUGGUUUAAGUUGAUUUAUUAUGAGUUUUAUAAGUUUUGUUUUGCUUGAAUCUUUAGAUCUAUACAUAAAACUAAAUGGUAUUUUACAAUUUUCAAUGCUGUUCUUUGUUUAUGCAACCAGAGCCUAAUUAAUUAUUGCAUUCCUAAUGCCCGUCAGUAAGUAAUGCCCGUAACUAUCUUCCAUUGAACGAGCACCACCGCUAGCUCAAAUGUAUCCUUUCUGAACCACUAUAAAACGCCAGGCUUGUACUCUCUAUUCUUCACACUGGGUAGUAGUCCCUCAACGAAUACAUCGUUCAGCUCGCAACAUGAAAACUGUCAUAGUACUGUUCGCCUUAGUGGCUGUUGCCACAGCAAUGCAGCCAUUUUAUCACCCACAAGAGCAAUUUCCCAUGGUUGAAAUCAUGCCCAUAAAUACUUUAGAUAACAGACAGUUACCCAAAAUUUUGGAAUCUCUUGUAGGGCUUGUUGACGGGUUUCUUAAUGUUUUCGAAGCAACACGUCGUGGCGACCCUGUUGAUCGUGAGAACAUGCGUCAGCUUAGCUUUUUGCUCACACUUUUACCUUCCAUCGUAGAAACUGUCUAUAGAAUAUUUGGUCAACCAACAUAAUUUGAAAAGGAUUUUCAUCCCACAAGUGAGGUGAGACUUUAACUGGAAGACCUCAAAGAAAUGAGAGCUAUGAUGGAAAUGGACGACCUUAAAUUUCACUAUUGGCAUAAAUAAAUCUACAUUCAUGCAUGCAAAUUUUGGAGAGCCUUGUUUAUCCCAUUUCAUGCCAAUAACAGGUAGCUAGUUUAUAAGUGAUAAAAUAGCGGCUUAAAGUAGUAAUCAUCUGUCGAAGGUUCUGCAUUGUAUCCCAUACACGAUUUCACCAAGUAUUCUUCAAUUUUUGAAUUGUUUUUAUGGAUUAAUUUACAGCGCAGCACAAACAUUGUCAUAAUACAGUUCGAACUGUCGGCUUCACGUCGGCGUACUCGUAAGCGAUACAGAACACGGACCAUACAUGGUCUAUAUUUUCCAUUUCCAGCAAACCGUGCUUCUCAUACAGAAGAACGGUACCGAUGAAAGUAAUACUAUACUCAUUUUUAAAUUGACUGCCUCAGAUUCAAAUCACCUCUAUUCGAUCGACGAGAAUAUCCAAACAAAAUUUACGCACCAAGCGAGCCAUACAAUUGACGUCAUUCGUAUCGGUUGAAUCGAUUGCAUGCUUGUGUAAACGAACAUAGAAAUCACUUCAAGCGAUCAGUAAUGAUGUAACAAUAAUUAAAUUGAACACUAAAAUAACUCAACAACGAUCAGCAAGCACUGGAAGUACCUGUAACGACCUCUGAUUAAACUAUGACUGGAGUAUAAAGUCACCCACUUAUUGUCCUGCAGUUGGUACCCAAAUCUAUCUCACGUAGCUAUUUCAAAGUACAAAGUUUACAAGGAAAGCCGUAGCAGAGCAACGUCAAAUGUUGCUGCGCCGAUUGUUGAACAUAGCUUUCUUGUAGGUGCAGCAUACUAUUGUAGACUAUCGAUACUAUCGAUUCUCAGGAGAACCUUUGACUUUUCCAUGAUUUCUAAGCCUUACAUAGACAUUGAUCCGCAAUAUGGUUCAAAUUCCAAGUAUAUCAUUCUAAAAUUUCGAUAGGUUCUAUUGUUAAAUUUAAUGCAUUGUUACGUUUCCUGAUGGAAGGAUGCAAGGUAAAAAGUAAAUACCUACACCCAUUGAUAAAAACGAUUCAAUACUUCGUAUACGAUAGCAAAACCAGCAACCGUUAUCAAUGAUCUUAUAUUUGCUUUGCAAAACAUAUUAACAAACCUAAACAACAUCAUAACAUUUGCAAGGCUCCUCCAUGGAUAUUCAACCACACUUCAAUUAAUUAUUGCAACCUUAAUGAUGAUUGCACCGCUGCCUGCUCCAAUGUCUCCUCUCUCAACUACUAUAAAACAGUGCACUAGUGACUGCAAAGUGCGCAGUAGUUUUUAAAUAGAAAACUUCAUUCAGAACACAACAUGAAAACUGGCAUUAUACUGUUCGGCCUGUUGGUUGCGGCAAACGCAAUCCCUUUACAAAGCCAUGACCGUGUUUUUCGUAAGGAAAUAGUUUUGCUAAGAAAGCCGUUUCACAUUCCUUCAUCGUUGCUAAUCUGGCUGCCACACACUGUAAAAGCAAUCAGACGAUCCUUUAACAGACCAGCACUGCGCCAAGACAGCAGUGACCUACCAUGGUGCUCUACUAUGACCGACGAAGAGUGCCUAUUGGUACCAAAUUUCAAUGCGAUCAAAACGAAAAACCAUGAUUAUGUUUUCCAUAAGGAUGUAGUUUUAGGAAAAAGGUGGAUUCCGCUAAAUGUGAUGCAACAAAAUUUAGAAUAUAUCAGACGAUUGUAUUACAUACCAGCACUGCGCCAAGACAGCAGUAACCUGCCAUGGUGCUCUAUCAUGAACGACGUCGAAAAAUGCCUAUUGGUACCAAAUUUCAAUGCGAUCAAAUCGAAAAACCAUGCAAUUAGCUCCAAAACAUAAAACAAACUCGGAACUAGGCUCGAUGUAACGUUCGCAAGAGAAAGGACCGAAGAUAAUCGCAAAAUUGGUUAUAUUUAACACUCAUCUUACAUACCUCCAAUCUACCCAAAACUACUAGCUACAUCGAAAUAAACAACACUCAACAAUUUACUGAUGUAA